rnacentral:lncRNA from 10 species
AAUGGUUUACAACAAGGAGCUUCUGAGCAGAAUUGUCACACACAACUGCGCAGGGAAGAGAGAACAACAGUGCUUCCAAAUUGUGAUGAAUGCUCUGAAGGAGAAAAGCAAUAGAACAAUGAAAAAAGGUGUCUAUGGCUCUCCUAACCCUACAUGAGACCUAGAACCUCAGAAAAGCAGACUUUGACUCAACAGAAGAAGAAAUUGGAUCAUAACGCAAUCUA